rnacentral:lncRNA from 1 species
CAUGAGUUGGGCUGCCCUCUUAAGAGAUGUAAAAGACAGAGGGCAGGACUUGCGUGUUGAACGUCGGGGACUUCCGACGAUGUUGCGUGUUGAAUCAAGUGGAUGAAACAGCCCCAUCCGUAGCAGUACAUAUAUGCACCCAUGGAACCUUCUAGGCGCAGGAUCCUAACAGAUCCUAUUUACAAGGCAACUAACAAUCAAUCCUAGCGCCAUGAUAGGUUUCCAUGUUACCAGAUUACAUGCAUGUUUACACGUUACAAACUUUACUUCUAACAGCCUCCCUCAAUCACAACUUGGUCAAGUUGAGAUUGAUCCUGAAGUUCUCCAUUAACUGAACCGGCAAAGCCUUGGUGAAUCCAUCCGCCAUCUGAUCUUUAGAAGACACAAAGUCGAUCUCAAGUCGCUUUUGCUUCACACGAUCUCUCACAAAAUGAUAGUCCACCUCAAUAUGUUUUGUUCGAGCAUGGAACACUGGGUUGCUUGUCAGAUAGGUAGCUCCUAAAUUAUCACACCAUAAUCUGGCUGCUCUAGGUGCUUUAACCCCUAUCUCAUGUAAUAAUAUCCGUAUCCAUAUUACCUCAGCUGUGGCAUUGGCAAUCGCUUUGUACUCUGCUUCUGUACUAGAGCGAGAUAUUGUGGGUUGUUUCCUUACACUCCAUGAUACAAGAUUUCCGCCUAGGAAUACUGCAAAGCCUCCAGUGGACUUUCGGUCAUCAACACAGCCAGCCCAGUCAGCAUCAGAGAAAGCACUAACUAGAGUAGAAGCCGACCUGUGAAUCUUCAAACCGAGCUUGGUACAUUGUUUCACAUAUCUCAAAAUUCGUUUUACCGCCUCCCAGUGUGUUGUAGUCGGAUCAUGGAGAAAUUGGCACACCUUGUUUACGGCAAAUGCAAUAUCAGGUCUAGUGAGAGUCAAGUAUUGUAAUGCCCCAACGACACUUCUGUACCUUGUUGCAUCACUUGGACCUAAUGGAGUUCCUUCAAACAAAGAUAACUUCUCACUGCUAGAGAGAGGUGUGGUUACCGGUUUACAAUCUCCCAUGCCGACUCUUUUUAACAAGUCUGACGCAUACUUCUCCUGAGUGAGAACAAUGCCAUCACGCACUUUUGAGAUCCUUAAGAGCAAAUUCACCUUUAAGAUCUUGAAGUAAGGCAGUUUUGGCUGCUUCACUUGAACUUGCAACAAUGAUGUCAUCGACAUAGACAAGUAUAAACAUUGUGAUGCCUCCCUUGCUAAAGUAAAACAGUGAAGUGUCAGCCUUGUACGCCUGGAAUCCCAACUGAAUUAGCUUGUCACUGAGGCGAGAAUACCAAGCCCUCGGAGCCUGUUUGAGCCCAUACAGUGCUUUGUCUAGCUUGCAUACAAAAUUUGGUUUCUCUGGGUCUUCAAAACCUGGAGGCUGAUGCAUAUACACCUCUUCCUCUAAGAGACCAUGUAAGAAGGCAUUUUGUACGUCCAACUGCCGAAGGGACCAGCCACAUGAGACAGCUAGCGAUAGGAUAACACGGAUUGUCGCUGCCUUAAUAACUGGACUAAACGUAUCUUCAUAGCCGAUGCCAUAUCUCUGUUUGAAUCCUUUAGCUACUAGCCUAGCUUUAUACCUGUCCAAAGUCCCAUCAGCCUUCCUUUUAAUCUUGUAAACCCAUUGGCACCCAAUUACAUUUCUUCCUUUCUGCGGUGGAACAAAAUGCCAUGUCUGGUUCCUCAUUAGUGCUGCAUACUCAGAGUUCAUGGCCUCUUUCCAAUUCUUGUUUGCUAAUGCCUCAUCAAGAUCAGAAGGUUCACCAGUGGAAGUUAGUAAUCCAUAACGAAUGGUUCCAUCGGUGUAUACCUUUUGUUUUCUGAUGCCCUGUUGAAGAUGCGUUGUAGGGCGGUGCACAGCAUCUAGCGGCACGGCAUAUCCUGGCGAGGAGAUCUCCCCUGGAAGCUGAGCCCCCGACGCACCUGUCGCAUCCAUGGAUGACGCAGGAUCCUGGACGCCUACGCCGUCAGCGUCGUCAUGUGGCGAGGCUGUGGCACCCGCAGAUUCGGCGAGCGACCCGCCAUCAAGGCCCACACACGAGAGCGAAGGAGGCGUGGCGCCCCCGGGUUCGCCAGACGGAGAAAACGCGUGGCCAGGUGAGGGCUCGUGAAUCUCAUGCCGCGACCCCGAGGGGGAUGUUGGCGCAGACGCAGAACCGGGCGUAGAGUGUGUUGCAUCGUUGGUCUCCACCGAAUCCUCCUGGAACUCCGUGCGGCCGGUAGAGGUAUUAUUUGAUGCUGGAUUUUCUUGAUAUCCAGAGUUCCUGCGCUCAAAAUUUUUAUCAAUGCUAACUGGCACAUUAGUGGAUUGAUCAGCUAUGUCACUAGCCCCAGGAUUAGCCGUUGUUUCGGACGGAAGCAGGAGAAUUUCUGGCCUUAGCCGUGCGCCUGCAUUAGGGUGCAACUUUGCAAAGGGAAACACUUUUUCAUCAAAUGUUACAUCACAAGAAAUGUAUACCCGUCCAGAAGAUACAUCUAGACACUUAAAUCCUUUGUGAAGGACACUAUAGCCAAGGAAGACACAUUGUUUGGAUCGGAAUUGAAGCUUGUGUGUGUUGUAUGGUCGGAGAUUUGGCCAACAAGCACACCCAAAUGUACGGAGGGCUGAGUAAUUUGGUUUUUGAUGAAAUAGUCGCUCUAGAGGCGUGGAGGAGGCAAUGACUUUGCUUGGCAGGCGAUUAAUUAAGUAUGUUGCGGCUAUGAAGGCUUCAUCCCAAAACUUCAGAGGCAUAGAUGCAUGGGAGAGAAGGGAAAGCCCGACCUCAACGAUAUGUCGAUGUUUUCGCUCCGCAGCACCAUUCUGUUGAUGGCGUGCGGGCAUGACACUAAAUGCGAAAUACCAAUCUUGGUAAAAAAAGAAUUAAGUCGCUGAUAUUCACCACCCCAAUCCGUUUGGACAGCCUUGAUCUUUCGAUCAAAUAACCUCUCAACAAGGUUCUGAAAAUCAUGAAAUUUUUGGAAUACUUCAGACUUAAACUUUAUAAGAUAAAUCCAUGUAAACUUGCUGUAAUCAUCAAUAAAACUCACAUAAUAUUGUUUGCGACCAACAGACUCAAGAGCAGGGCCCCACACAUCAGAGAAAACCAAAUCUAAAGGUGCACUAGACUCACUGGUGGAUAUGGGAUAUGGUAAUUGAUGUGCUUUGGCUUGUUGGCACGCAUCGCACAGAUACUCAUGACUGGAAUCAAAGGUACAUGGCAACUCAUUAUUACUGACAAUCUGACGGAGAUGCAGGAUGACCCAGACGCUCAUGCCACCGGGACAGAGAUGGUUUGGACACGGUGAAGGCCUACUUUAUUGCUGAAGUGGAAGGAAGUGGAUACAGUCCGCGCCGACACGGACCCUUAAGCAGAAUUUUCUUGGUGUCCAGAUCCUUUACCAAAAAAUAAUUUGGAUGAAAUUCCAUGAAUGCUGAGUUGUCAGAUGUGAAACGAUGAACUGAUAUAAGAUUUUUGUGUUUUGUGUGCCUCAGGAACAUGCAGAACAUUAUUCAAACGAAGAUUACGGCUAGGGGUAGUAAUCAUAGACUGACCAAUGUGACUAAUUGCCAUACCUGCACCGCUCGCAGUGUGGAUCUGAUCUCCUCCAUUGUACUUCUCACGAACCGCCAGCUUCUCAAGUUUGCUAGUGAUGUGAUCAGAGGCACCAGUGUCUGUGUACCAGUUGUUGUCGAUGUUGUAGGAGCUUGAAGCCGCCGCCCCUAUCUUCUCAUCUGUGUAGUUUUCAUCAAACCGGUACCAACAACGAAGGACAGUGUGCCCCUCCUUGUCGCACACUUGGCAGAUUGGCUUGUCACGUUUCUUGUUGUUGUUGAAGCUGCCGCGUUGCUGACUGUUGGUGUUGAAUCCUUGGCCGCGACCACGGCCUCCAGUGCUGGGAGGACCGCAACCACGCCCACGUGUGGAGUCACGGCCACGGUUUGAACCGCGCCUGCCUCCGCGACCGGCCAGAUCGGUCGACGUCUGUUCGCCGCCAUGGACCAGACCCAUCCUGGUCUCAAAGUUGAGGAGCUGUGCAUACAGCUCAUCAAGCGUCACCGAUUCCACCCUCAUAACGAGAGAGGUAACCAGCAACUCAUACUCCGCAGACAAUCUGGUGAGAAUGUACUCAACCAGCUCGUCGUCGGUGAUAGAUCGCCCCGCUGCCGCCAUCUCAUCACUGAAACCUUUCAUCUUAGUGAAAUAUUCAGUAGCGGAAAGAUUACCUUUCUUGGUAUUAGCGAGCGCGGGUCUGUGAGGCGAACAUCGCCUCAAUCUUUGCCCAUGCAGCCUGUGCCGUCUUGGACUUGGCGAUGUGGCUGAGGAUGUCCCUGGAAACGCUAGCAAAGAGGAAGCUGAGAAUCUGCUGAUCCCGGGUCUCCCACUCCUCGAACGCCGGGUUCAGAACUUGCUUGGCUUCCUUGUCCGCAAUCUCCUUCUCUGGUGCCACCAUGGAUCCAGUGAGGUGCCCAUAAACGUGAGCACCUUUGACAGCCGAGAGGACCUGAGCCUCCCAGGUGGGGUAGUUGGUCCUGGUGAGUUUUUUGGUGAUGGCCGUAGCCGAGAGAGGGUUGGGCAGGAGGGCUGAAGAGGACGACAUUGCGGCGAGGUGUAUCCAGAUGGAAUUGGCUCUGAUUACCAUGUAAAAGACAGAGGGCAGGACUUGCGUGUUGAACGUCAGGGACUUCCGACGAUGUUGCGUGUUGAAUCAAGUGGAUGAAACAGCCCCAUCCGUAGAUGAAACAGCCCCAUCCGUAGCAGUACAUAUAUGCACCCAUGGAACCUUCUAGGCGCAGGAUCCUAACAGAUCCUAUUUACAAGGCAACUAACAAUCAAUCCUAGCGCCAUGAUAGGUUUCCAUGUUACCAGAUUACAUGCAUGUUUACACGUUACAAACUUUAUAA